rnacentral:rRNA from 1 species
GAUGAACGCUAGCGGCAGGCUUAAUACAUGCAAGUCGUGGGGCAGCACAGGUAGCAAUACUGGGUGGCGACCGGCAAACGGGUGCGGAACACGUACGCAACCUUCCUUUAAGUGGGGAAUAGCCCAGGGAAACUUGGAUUAAUACCCCGUAACACUAUGAAGUGGCAUCAUUUUAUAGUUAAAGCUACGGCGCUUAAAGAUGGGCGUGCGGCUGAUUAGGUAGUUGGCGGA